UAAAUUCGUCAUUCAGUUGUAGAGCUUGGCAGUGCUCACAUCUAAAAUAAAAUUCUCAGUUUUUCCAAAUUCCAAAUUCCAAAUUAAGAAACAAAAUAAAAACCGGACUUUUGGCUACAUUUGUCUAAAAUAAAAAAGUAAAUAUAUAUAAAAAAGUGUUGCUAAAAACAAGCAACGGGUGAGGGUGCCUGUAGAGAACUAAACAAACUCUGAAUUUUGUAUUGUUGUUGGCUAACAGUAAUAACAUUUUAUACGAAAGCUCGCUAAUUUUCUUGUGCAUUUCCCCUAAAGGGCCUUGAAGGCUCGUUAGAUAAAGAAGAAUAACAGAAAUUCGCUGGAAUUAUGGACCAUCGUUAACAAAUAGAUGUCAAUUUGUUUUUGGAGCAAGGUCCGAGGAUGUAGAGAUCCUUGUGUUUGCUCAUACACUUGAAUCGCGAACUCUGAACGUUGGUAUAUCGGAAUCGCUAUAUUAUAUUAGGCAUUGAGGCUGCCAUUAAUUUAUUUUCAUUUUAUGCUUCGACCCUGACAGGUCUGCUGUAUAUACAACAUGACACAAAAUAAUGAAUGGAUCGAUUCAACGAAUUUAUAAAAAUAUCGAAAUGAAGCAUUUUUGAACGGGGUGCAAGGUCCGAGGAUAUCAUAUCCUUGUGUUUGCCUCCGAGUAGUAGUAGUGGAGUAACAACGAAGAAAAACAAACAAAACAAGGUCCUUCUACUAGGAAACUUCCAAGCCGACUAACAUUUGAACAAGACACAAUUCUAAAUUACAGACUAGUAGCUGCAGCCUAUUUAGAAACACUGGUAUACAUUGUUUUGUAAAUUUAUACAUUCACAUGUUCUUGUGUUUACAAUUAUGCAUGCUGUCAUAUAUCCAUGUUUAUUAAAUGCACGAUAAGCAAUA